AGGUGCUGCACGGCUGUCGUCAGCUCGUGUCGUGAGAUGUUGGGUUAAGUCCCGCAACGAGCGCAACCCUCGUGUUUAGUUACUAACAGUUCGGCUGAGGACUCUAGACAGACUGCCUGGGUAACCAGGAGGAAGGUGAGGACGACGUCAAGUCAUCAUGGCCCUUACGGCCAGGGCUACACACGUGCUACAAUGGGGUAUACAAAGAGCUGCAAUACGGUGACGUGGAGCAAAUCUCAUAAAAUAUCUCCCAGUUCGGAUUGAAGUCUGCAACUCGACUUCAUGAAGUUGGAAUCGCUAGUAAUCGUAGAUCAGCAAUGCUACGGUGAAUACGUUCCCGGGUCUUGUACUCACCGCCCGUCACACCAUGGGAAUUGAAUUCAUUCGAAGCGGGGAUGCUAAAAUAGCUACCUUCCACAGUGGAUUUAGUAACUAGGGUGAAGUCGUAACAAGGUA
rnacentral:rRNA from 1 species